rnacentral:rRNA from 1 species
AGCGUCAAAAGGGCGUCUGGUGGAUGCCUUGGUGGUAAGAGGCGAUGAAGGACGUGGCACGCUGCGUUAAGUUCCGGGGAGUUGCGAGCAGACUUUGAUCCGGAAAUUUCCGAAUGGGGGAACCCACCUUUACAGACCCUGGCGGUUGUUCGUCUGAGUGAUCAGGCGGCCAAUCACCAGUGUUUGUGAAAGGUAUCUUAUUCUGAAUACAUAGGAAUAAGAAGCGAACUCGGGGAACUGAAACAUCUAAGUACCCGAAGGAAAGGACAUCAAUUGAGACUUCCCUAGUAGCGGCGAGCGAACGGGAACCAGGCCAGUGUCUCUUCUUGAGUCAGCGGAACGAUCUGGAAAGUUCGGCCAUAGCGGGUGAUAGCCCCGUACGUUAAAGCGAUUGAAGAGACCUUGAGUAGGGCGGGACACGUGAAAUCCUGUCUGAACAUGGGGGGACCACCCUCCAAGCCUAAGUACUCCUUACCAACCGAUAGUGAACCAGUACCGUGAGGGAAAGGUGAAAAGCACCCCGACGAGGGGAGUGAAACAGAUCCUGAAACCGGACGCCUACAAGCAGUCGGAGCCGCCUUGCGCGGUGACGGCGUACCUUUUGUAUAAUGGGUCAGCGACUUAAUUUAACGAGCAAGCUUAAGCCGGUAGGUGUAGGCGCAGCGAAAGCGAGUCUGAAUAGGGCGUUUUAGUUCGUUGGAUUAGACCCGAAACCGAGUGAUCUAGCCAUGGCCAGGUUGAAGGUGCGGUAACACGCACUGGAGGACCGAACCCACGCCUGUUGAAAAAGUCGGGGAUGAGCUGUGGCUAGGGGUGAAAGGCCAAUCAAACUCGGAGAUAGCUGGUUCUCCGCGAAAUCUAUUUAGGUAGAGCGUCUCGUAUUACCUUCGGGGGUAGAGCACUGGAUGGGCUAGGGGGUCCCAACGACUUACCAAACCUAACCAAACUCCGAAUACCGAAGAGUAGAGCGAGGCAGACACACUGCGGGUGCUAAGGUCCGUAGUGGAGAGGGAAACAGCCCUGACCGCCAGCUAAGGUCCCUAAGUUAUCACUAAGUGGGAAACGAUGUGGGAAUGCUUAGACAACCAGGAGGUUGGCUUAGAAGCAGCCAUCCUUUAAAGAAAGCGUAACAGCUCACUGGUCAAGCGUUCCUGCGCGGAAAAUGUAACGGGGCUUAAGUGAUACACCGAAGCUGCGGACUCGAAAGAGUGGUAGCGGAGCGUUCUGUAAGUCUGUGAAGGUGGCCUGCGAGGGCUGCUGGAGAUAUCAGAAGUGAGAAUGCUGACAUGAGUAGCGAUAAAGAGGGUGAGAGGCCCUCUCGCCGAAAGUCCAAGGGUUCCUGCGCAAUGCUAAUCAGCGCAGGGUAAGCCGGCCCCUAAGGCGAGGCCGAAAGGCGUAGUCGAUGGGAACCAGGUUAAUAUUCCUGGGCCAGCGGGUAGUGACGGAUUGCGGACGUUGUACACUCUUACUGGAUUGAGUGUGCAGCCAAGCCGUCCCUGGAAAUAGCUCCCGCAUGAGACCGUACCCCAAACCGACACAGGUGGACUGGUAGAGAAUACCAAGGCGCUUGAGAGAACUAUGCUGAAGGAACUCGGCAAAAUGCUCCCGUAAGUUCGCGAGAAGGGAGACCUGUGCUUGGGCAACCAGGUAUAGGUGGCACAGAAAUGGGGGUGGCGACUGUUUAUCAAAAACACAGGGCUCUGCGAAGUCGCAAGACGACGUAUAGGGUCUGACGCCUGCCCGGUGCUGGAAGGUUAAGAGGAGGUGUGCAAGCACCGAAUUGAAGCCCCAGUAAACGGCGGCCGUAACUAUAACGGUCCUAAGGUAGCGAAAUUCCUUGUCGGGUAAUUUCCGACCCGCACGAAUGGUGUAACGACUCCUACACUGUCUCAACGAGGGACUCGGCGAAAUUGUAGUCGUGGUGAAGAUGCCACGUUCCCGCAUCAAGACGGAAAGACCCCGUGAACCUUCACUGCAGCCUAUUACUGGCUCUCGCCAUGGAAUGUGUAGGAUAGGUGGGAGACGUUAUGCCGUGGUCGCCAGAUCACGGAUAGUCACUGGUGAAAUACCACUCUUUUCAUGGUUGGAUUCUAACCCGGGACCGUUAUCCGGCCCGGGGACAGUGGUAGGUGGGCAGUUUGACUGGGGCGGUCUCCUCCGAAAGCGUAACGGAGGAGUGCAAAGGUACCCUCAGUGCGGUCGGUAAUCGCACGUAGAGCGUAAAGGUAUAAGGGUGCUUAACUGCGAGACAAAUAGGUCGAGCAGGUGCGAAAGCAGGUCUUAGUGAUCCGGUGGUCCCGUGUGGAAGGGCCAUCGCUCAUCAGAUAAAAGGUACUCCGGGGAUAACAGGCUGAUCUCCCCCAAGAGUCCAUAUCGACGG